rnacentral:rRNA from 1 species
AGAGUUUGAUCAUGGCUCAGAUUGAACGCUGGCGGCAGGCCUAACACAUGCAAGUCGAACGGUAACAGGAAGCAGCUUGCUGCUUUGCUGACGAGUGGCGGACGGGUGAGUAAUGUCUGGGAAACUGCCUGAUGGAGGGGGAUAACUACUGGAAACGGUGGCUAAUACCGCAUAACGUCGCAAGACCAAAGAGGGGGACCUUCGGGCCUCUUGCCAUCAGAUGUGCCCAGAUGGGAUUAGCUUGUUGGUGAGGUAACGGCUCACCAAGGCGACGAUCCCUAGCUGGUCUGAGAGGAUGACCAGCCACACUGGAACUGAGACACGGUCCAGACUCCUACGGGAGGCAGCAGUGGGGAAUAUUGCACAAUGGGCGCAAGCCUGAUGCAGCCAUGCCGCGUGUAUGAAGAAGGCCUUCGGGUUGUAAAGUACUUUCAGCGGGGAGGAAGGUGUUGUGGUUAAUAACCACAGCAAUUGACGUUACCCGCAGAAGAAGCACCGGCUAACUCCGUGCCAGCAGCCGCGGUAAUACGGAGGGUGCAAGCGUUAAUCGGAAUUACUGGGCGUAAAGCGCACGCAGGCGGUCUGUCAAGUCGGAUGUGAAAUCCCCGGGCUCAACCUGGGAACUGCAUUCGAAACUGGCAGGCUUGAGUCUUGUAGAGGGGGGUAGAAUUCCAGGUGUAGCGGUGAAAUGCGUAGAGAUCUGGAGGAAUACCGGUGGCGAAGGCGGCCCCCUGGACAAAGACUGACGCUCAGGUGCGAAAGCGUGGGGAGCAAACAGGAUUAGAUACCCUGGUAGUCCACGCCGUAAACGAUGUCUACUUGGAGGUUGUGCCCUUGAGGCGUGGCUUCCGGAGCUAACGCGUUAAGUAGACCGCCUGGGGAGUACGGCCGCAAGGUUAAAACUCAAAUGAAUUGACGGGGGCCCGCACAAGCGGUGGAGCAUGUGGUUUAAUUCGAUGCAACGCGAAGAACCUUACCUGGUCUUGACAUCCACGGAAGUUUUCAGAGAUGAGAAUGUGCCUUCGGGAACCGUGAGACAGGUGCUGCAUGGCUGUCGUCAGCUCGUGUUGUGAAAUGUUGGGUUAAGUCCCGCAACGAGCGCAACCCUUAUCCUUUGUUGCCAGCGGUCCGGCCGGGAACUCAAAGGAGACUGCCAGUGAUAAACUGGAGGAAGGUGGGGAUGACGUCAAGUCAUCAUGGCCCUUACGACCAGGGCUACACACGUGCUACAAUGGCGCAUACAAAGAGAAGCGACCUCGCGAGAGCAAGCGGACCUCAUAAAGUGCGUCGUAGUCCGGAUUGGAGUCUGCAACUCGACUCCAUGAAGUCGGAAUCGCUAGUAAUCGUGGAUCAGAAUGCCACGGUGAAUACGUUCCCGGGCCUUGUACACACCGCCCGUCACACCAUGGGAGUGGGUUGCAAAAGAAGUAGGUAGCUUAACCUUCGGGAGGGCGCUUACCACUUUGUGAUUCAUGACUGGGGUGAAGUCGUAACAAGGUAACCGUAGGGGAACCUGCGGUUG